CCUACGGGGGACAGCAGUGGGGAAUAUUGGGCAAUGGAGGCAACUCUGACCCAGCCACGCCGCGUGAAUGAUGAAGGUCUUCGGAUUGUAAAGCUCUUUUUUAAGGGAAGAAGAAAGUGAUGGUACCUUAGGAAUAAGCCUCGGCUAACUACGUGCCAGCAGCCGCGGUAAUACGUAGGAGGCGAGCGUUAUCCGGAAUGACUGGGCGUAAAGGGUGCGUAGGUGGUUUGGCAAGUUAGUAGCGUAACUCCAAGGCUCAACCUUGGAACUGCUACUAAAACUGUUGGACUUGAGUGCAGGAGGGGCAAGCGGAAUACCUAGUGUAGCGGUGGAAUGCGUAGAUAUUAGGAAGAACACCGGUGGCGAAGGCGGGUUGCUAGACUGUGACUGACACUGAGGCACGAAAGCGUGGGGAGCAAACAGGAUUAGAUACCCGAGUAGUC
rnacentral:rRNA from 1 species